GGUUUACUGGCCACCACAAGCACUUUCCCUCCAAAUUUGGGUUUCACUUUUUGGGGUUUCUUUUAGAUCUGGAGACAAACAUCAUCGCUUCGGUAUUCCAAUUCUCUUUUUAGGUUUUGACAUCAUCAGGAUCUGGGUUUGUGAUUAUUCUGUUUCUAUGCCGUCGAAAUCCAUCCCAUCUUGAACUGAAAAUUCCAUAAACUGAAAUUUCCUGAGCUCUGGGAACCUGGAGAUGGACACUUUCCAAGUUUUCUAAUUCAUUUCAUCAUCAUCUGAUUGUUGUCUUUGAAUUUUCUUUCUAGGUUUUUUGGUGGUUUUGUUUUUGUUGUUGCUAAUUUGGGUUUUGGUGAAUUUGUGAAGAGCAAGCGGUGUGUGUAGAAAUUAGAAACAGGGGGUGAAGCAGAGUCUGGGACGCAGAGACAGUUUGAGCUUUGCUGGUUGGAAGAUGGGUUCUCAGAUAUGAUUUUUGGGUGUGAGAACUCUAGCUGGAGAACAAGAGGAUGAUGGACGGUUCUAUUAGAGAAAUAGAGAGGACAAGCCUUCUGAGGGCAAGAGAAGAAGCUGGUUCAACGUUAAGAAAAGUGCUAAGCAAGGGCAGAUGAUGUGUUUUUCUUCUGGUCAGAUACAAGAAGGUAAUUCAAAUAAGCCCCUUUCAACUGGUGUAGUAGCUGCUUAUCUUGCAGAGUGGAUGAGAGAAAUGAAUGUAAAGUAGUGUAGGAAAUGGAUGUAAAGUAGUUGUGAAGGUUUCUUUUUGCUUCUAUGGAUUUUUAUUUGCUUGUAAGCGAAUCUUAUAUGAUGUACAAUAAUUAUAUAAAUGAAGUUGAUUUACCAACAAAAAUAUAGAAACAUGAAAUAAUAUGUAAAUUGUGGA